UUUGGAGGGCAAGUCUGGUGCCAGCAGCCGCGGUAAUUCCAGCUCCAAUAGCGUAUAUUAAAGUUGUUGCAGUUAAAAAGCUCGUAGUUGAAUUUCGGGGUUAGUAGGUUGGUCAUGCCUCUGGUAUGUACUGAUCUCACUGAUUCCUCCUUCCUUAUGAACCGUAAUGCCAUUAAUUUGGUGUUGCGGGGAAUUUGGACUGUUACUUUGAAAAAAUUAGAGUGUUUAAAGCAGGCUAACGCUUGAAUACAUUAGCAUGGAAUAAUGAAAUAGGACGUUCGAUCUUAUUUUGUUGGUUUCUAGGAUUGACGUAAUGAUUAAUAGGGAUAGUUGGGGGCAUUAGUAUUCAAUUGUCAGAGGUGAAAUUCUUGGAUUUAUUGAAGACUAACUACUGCGAAAGCAUUUGCCAAGGAUGUUUUCAUUAAUCAAGAACGAAAGUUAGGGGAUCGAAGACGAUCAGAUACCGUCGUAGUCUUAACCAUAAACUAUGCCGACUAGGGAUCGGAUGAUGUUAAUUUUUUAAUGACUCAUUCGGCGCCUUACGGGAAACA
rnacentral:rRNA from 1 species